rnacentral:rRNA from 1 species
CCUAGUUCGAAGGGGUAACAAGUAUAGCUGAGUAUCUGCUGACGAGCGGCGGAGGAGUGAGUGAUGCAUAGGUCUCUGCCUGGCAGUGGGGGAUAUCCCAGAGAAAUUUGGAUUAAUACCGCAUACGCCCUACGGGGGAAAGCUGGGGACCUUCGGGCCUAGCGCUAUCAGAUGAGCCUAUGUCGGAUUAGCUUGUUGGUGAGGUAACGGCUCACCAAGGCGACGAUCCGUAGCUGGUCUGAGAGGAUGAUCAGCCACACUGGGACUGAGACACGGCCCAGACUCCUACGGGAGGCAGCAGUGGGGAAUAUUGGACAAUGGGCGCAAGCCUGAUCCAGCCAUGCCGCGUGUGUGAAGAAGGCCUUCGGGUUGUAAAGCACUUUCAGCGAGGAGGAAAGGGGUGCUGCUAAUAUCAGCGCCCUGUGACGUUACUCGCAGAAGAAGCACCGGCUAACUCCGUGCCAGCAGCGUGAGUAUAAUUAA